UACGAAGGGGGCUAGCGUUGUUCGGAAUUACUGGGCGUAAAGCGCACGUAGGCGGAUUGUUAAGUGAGGGGUGAAAUCCCAGGGCUCAACCCUGGAACUGCCUUUCAUACUGGCAAUCUAGAGUCCAGAAGAGGUGAGUGGAAUUCCGAGUGUAGAGGUGAAAUUCGUAGAUAUUCGGAGGAACACCAGUGGCGAAGGCGGCUCACUGGUCUGGAACUGACGCUGAGGUGCGAAAGCGUGGGGAGCAAACAGG
rnacentral:rRNA from 2 species